UAACUGACCUGCUGUGAACUGGC
rnacentral:miRNA from 1 species